rnacentral:lncRNA from 1 species
AAGGUACAACAUCUGUUUUUUGAAAAGGCAGGAUGCACCCAUCUGAAGGCUGUAAACAAGCCGGAAUUCGAUAUUUCUGCGGAUGACCUAGCUAUAGUGUCCACUAAAGCUUAUAUCGUGGGAAACAAAUUUAUCACUCAAAUAUGGUCGAAGGGUGGUAGGGAAACUGCGGGAGAUGAAGAUAGGCGCUUCUGGAUGAAGUAUGUUCCAAGGCUUUUUUCAAUGACGCCUUGUGCUCCUUUUCUAUUUUUAUGUACUAAUGCACUCACACUUUUUGUAGGAUGACGAUGAUGACGAAGAAGCCGAAGCUUAGAGGAUUUUUACUGAAAAACUUAGAGGACUUGUUAGUGCAUUUCGACGACAGAGAAAUUGUAAUGUAAAAAACUUUGUAAAUGUAUGGAAACAACUUAUUGUGUUACCUUGUUUUGUCCACAACUCCACAUGCUUCG